rnacentral:lncRNA from 1 species
GCAGGGCCCGGCAGUGCUCUGAGCAGGGGAGCAGCGGGAGCGCGGGCCUGACGUCGGGCGGCGAGCAUUUACCCACCCGGAGGGGCGGCCGCGCCUGGGCCGUGCCCGCCGGGAGAGCAGUGCCAGGCGGCCACGGAGGAGCCGCUGUCUGGCUGCGUGGGGGCCGGGCAGCUCGGGCAGUCCGGAGCCCGCCCCAGCGCAGGUUCUCUGCGACCGGGAGCAGGCGAGAGGGCCCUGCCGGUCCCCGCUGAUUCCCCGGGGCUGCUCCUCCCCGUCUCUUCCCAGGACGGGCGGUCCUCGCCUCUGGGGAUGCCCAUGCCUGAGGUCAGCUCAGGCCGCAGUCGGCCGGGUGCGAGGCAGCCCUGGCCCGCUCCUUCCGCCCGGCCAGCGGACCGGUCCUCAGGGCUGUGGAGCACGGUGCGCGCUUGGUAAGAAGAUUAACACCAAGCACUGGGAUGGGCCACGAGCUUCGGGAACUGAACCCGCGGCCUCCUUAGCGCGGCCACGAAUUUCCCUGCUCGGCCUCAACCGCGCCCAGCUCAGCCGCGCAGCCGCUGCUUCUCUCAGAUCAGGGAAAUCACCUGGACAGUCUGCACCGAGCACCUGAGCGCGCAGCGUCCGGGAAAGCCGCAGUUUAACCUUCGCGUCUUCGUUGUCUGGGGGCGCAGAGGCCCAAGGCCUCCUGCCUCCCGCAGGGCCACACACAGCACCCCGUUUCCAGCACAUGCGCCAGACUCCGAGAGGACGCCUGUCCCCGUGGACGCUGCCUCUUCUUGUUCUCUGAGGCCUGGUGAGUCCGCCCAGCCCCUGCACGGCACAUCUGCAACCGUCCCCAGGGCCCGUGUUCUCACCGCCACGCUCACCCGGGAGGCCCCGGCAGCGCUGCGUGCCGUCCUGGCCCUGCAGAGCUGCGGCGGUCCUGAGCCUCGGUUUCCAGGCCCGAGGGAUGGUCCCAGCCAGCGCUGUCUCCUGCUGGGUUCUGCGCUCUGGGACGUCUCCGGGAUGAGCUUGGCCAGCCCCGCUGUCUGGGAAGGGAGCUGGCCGUUCCUCUGGCCCCUGAGCGCGCUCCCCUGCUGUGGAACAGAAACCCCAGGGCAGGUCCGCAGAGGCGCAGCGGGAUGGCCCUGGCCAGCGUCACAGACGGAUGAGGGAGCGGGAGGUGGGGGACACAGGCGGGACUCACACUGCUCUUUGUCCCUGGGAUGCUCCCCGAUGACCUCAGAGCCCGGGACAGGGGGCGGUGACCGCGCCCCGCAGGCCCCGGGAUCGGCAUCAUCCUGCGGUAGCAGUUCGCGUCACGCCCGUCGCCUGCCUUGCUGCUGUGACUCCGGUUCGCUCACGUCAUGAGUGUAAGGGGCCGAGUGAAAGCGCCGCACACGUGCGUGUCCUCGGUCUGAAGCGGGCGCGUCCAGACUCGGACAGUGGCGCUGUCUGCGCGGUUCUUCGCCAGUGCCGCAGAUCGCAUGCUGCCGCGGGGCAGGUGCUGGCUUCCAGGGCUGCGCGCCAGUUGACUAAGAAGCUAAGCUCUGACCGAAUCAGUCGCUGCACUUGACGGUCGGUGUGUGGAGGCUAAACGGCCAUUUGUUGGACCGUUCCCCGGAAAUGAGGAAAGGGAGACUGAUGUCAGGUGGUUCUAACCUUGUGAUGGGUUCAGUAGGAGAGUAGAGCGCUGUGAUUUUCAAGUUACCUUCGUUCCUGAUUAAAGCAAACCCUCGAGUAUCCAUCCAUAAAAGUGGCCCAAAGAAACAUCAGUCACGUCUGUCUCUCAGAGUCAGUUUUAGGAAGGACGUGAAAAAGCCUUCCACGGUCGUGAUGAAUUAGGGCCUUCGGUCUUACGUACAGUAUGAUAUUUAGACUGUAAAGUGCUGGCCCCUUGUGUUCUAUGCUUUCGUUUCUUUCAAUUUCUUCAUUCGUUCCCAAGCUUUUUAUUGCACAUCUACUACGUAGAAGUGGCACAAACCCAGGAGGAUCUAAAGUGUACCUUUGCUCUUGAAAUGCCGGGCAGAGAGAACAGUACCGCCUGAGGACAGAGAGGCCGGGGUAGCUGGGGAACCGGGGAGCGGAGCACAGCUCCGGCGGGGUGGCUCACUGCGGGCGGCGGAGGGGCCCUCCUGGAGGUGGGUGAGGGGCGAGGUGGCUGGAGGGCAGGCAGGAAGGGGGCUUCUGCUGCGCGGGGGGCUCCGUGGCCCCUGCGUGGAGUGCGGGGAGGGCAGGCCUGGGCCCCAAGGAGGAGAGGAGGCGCCUCGGCGGGCUGUCAGGAGCAGAGCUGAGGACUGGCAUCUCCUUCCCGUCACGGUGGGACAGACUACUAAGCAGCACACAGGUGGUCUUCAAGCAAGGAGCUCAAAGACACCAAGCCAGCCACUAAGGUUAAUUACAAGUGAUACAGACCUCACAGAGGAGGUUUGUCUUCGUCUCAGCUUCUCACCCCCCAUGAGUAGUAGCUGCCUACAGACUGGGAAUUCCCAUGAGUCCCCAUUCUGGGAGAAGGACCAGCUGCGGUGGUGGCCUUGGUGCUGGAGCUCGCAUCAGAAUCGACACUCCAGGGCAACGUUCUGCAUCCUCACCUCCCAGGCACAGCGCACCCCUUUAACACUCUCCAAGACACUAUUUAUGGCAGCGUCUGACAGAUGGUGGCACUGCACCAAGGUGUGUAGCUGUGGAUUUUCCUCCUGUCGGCUGCAUUGCAAUUCUAGCCUCCUGGCACAUGGAAGUCAUAUUUCCUACCUGAGCCAGAAACUUUGGUCCAGGUGACACUGCCCGAAGGAACUGAGAAUUGAAGUCCUUGUUUGCACAAGUGGGUGGUCCAUACAUACUGGUUCAAUCAGGUAUCUUUGCUUUUACUUAGAUGCGAAAGAGUGUGUGGAGAGAGGUGUUUUGAGAGAAGCAAAGGAAGGUGCCAACAGGUUCGCGUCCUGUAACCAGCUUGUAAGCCUACACAGCAUGAUUCUUUAAAAGAUGGUAAACCCAAUAUUGGCAUGGGGCUGGGUGUGCUGCUCCAUUGCCAGUGUAGGCUCAAAUCGUUAUGGGCUUCUGCACAAAAGUACUUGUGAACUGUAAAUACAGUAAUGCCUCUUUUAGCAGCUUAUCCUGAGGAUGUAAUCAGUGAUACAGAAGAAGAUAUAUCAAACACAUGUUUUCAUCACAUUAUGCUAAACAUGAAAAACUGAAAUAAAAUGUCCAACAGAAGUGGGUGGUCAAAUCGAUUAUGGCUUAUAUCCCACAGACACAUCAUUUUGGAAAAGUGUUCAGCAACACAGAAAGGAAUGUUCAGUGGGGAAAAGCACAAGGAAUAAAAUGCGGAUUAAGUAAAUAACUUUGGCAAAUGUUGAUACAUGGUGAAUGAAAGGUUCUUUUCAGUGCUAG